UAUUUUUUUUGCCAAUGCAUAAACUCUAGGAUCUCCUUCCAUGGCCAAUGAUGUCAAUUUGCCACUGAUUUUGUAUCAUUUAGAUCUGAAGUUGGGAAUUAGUGAAAAGAGCAUCUUUGACGAAUUCCAUCCAGAUGCAGAGGACUUGUUCAAUGUCACAUGCGAUUUUAAAACUAGUUUGUGAAAAGUUGGGGGACAAAAGUCAACGGCAUAAACGCCAGGUUCAUUUCUUUUUGCAGAGUGCGCACUGGAGUUUCUGAUGAGGAAAUGCAAUACCAUAGUAACUCCAUAAAAGCCCUAUUUUUGCAGGCAAUAUUUCUGUUGAUGUAGCUUGAGUUGGGACACUGUUUACUGUUGUACCUUUUAUUCUUGCACUGUUAAGAAUGGUUUACUUGCGUGUACAGAUAUAUAUUUAGGCAUCGGUCUGUUUCUAGUCAGUGGACUUCUGGUUGUCCAAUGCAUUAAUCUUUGUGAGAAAUAAAGGAGAGAAGUAUUAUUGCAU